rfam:Candidatus Sungbacteria bacterium RIFCSPHIGHO2_02_FTLL_49_12 rifcsphigho2_02_scaffold_96412, whole genome shotgun sequence.
GUCCUGACAUUCAGGGACGAAAGCGUGGGGAGCAAAUGGGAUUAGAUACAAGCCGAAAGGCUUGUCGCGGACGGACGCGGACUUAACGCGGACGGACGCUGGCAAAGUGUCUCUUCGUGCGGUAACGCACGAUGACAAUUUGGCUAUAUGCUGGAACAUCCGGUCGCAUAAGAAGAUACUUGAGUAUAUACUUUUAGUAGAGGUCGCUUAAGUAAAAAAGCUUCUUUGCGGACAACCAGCAGGGAAGUUGAAUAAAAUUAAAAAUCUAUGGAGACUGAUCCGAAAACGGAAAAUCUUGAAGUGCGAGAGGAACUGCUUCGCAUGGCUGAAGCAUUGGGGCCCGUAGUGAGUACUUACCGGGAAUUCGAGCGUAAUAAGGAAGAAUUUGCUCGAAACAUGGAUCCGGAAGCAUUCAAAGCACUGAAAGAUGCAUUUGAGAGUGAGCCUAUUGUAAGGAUAAAUAAAGCUCUCGAUGUAGCGGAAAAAUCUUCUUGGAACUCACAGGAGGCAAAAUAAUUUUUCAACCCCUCAGAGACUAUACGCCGAACUCCUCCAAUAAUCGGAGGAUGAAGAUAUAGUCCGACCUCCAUGGCGACAUGGAGAGAUGAAUAGAAAUAGUUCAUCCUCGUAUAUUCGUAGUUCUGUCUGUGUACUUCUGCGUGAAGUCUGCGUCAGUCUGCGGUUGUGCGAAGCAACAACAGUGACCCCAGUAGUCCACGCCCUAAACGAUGCAGAUUAGCUAUUUCGAGUAUCGACCCUCGGAGUGGCGCAGCUAACGCGUUAAAUCUGCCGCCUGGGAAGUACGGCCGCAAGGCUAAAACUCAAAGGAAUAGACGGGAGCUCGCACAAGCGGUGGAGCAUGUGGUUCAAUUCGAUGGCAACCGAGGAACCUCACCAGGGUUUGAAAUCCCGACGACAACUUUCCGAAAGGAGAGUUUUCUCACAAGGACGUCGGGACAGGUGUUGCAUGGUCCUCGUCAGUUCGUGGCUUGAGCUGUUCCCUUAAGUGGGUUAACGAACGCAACCCUUGUCGCCUGUUAUAAGUGUCAGGCGAGACUGCUUCCUUUUCGGGAGAGGAAGGAGGGGAUGACGCGAGAUCAGCAUGGCCCUCUGAUACCCUGGGCUACACACGUGCUACAAUGGCGCAUACAAUGGGUUGCGAAGUCGCAAGGCGGAGCUAAUCCCAUCAAAGUGCGCCCCAGUUCAGAUUGAAGUCUGCAACUCGACUUCAUGAAGUCGGAAUCGCUAGUAAUCGCGGAUCAGCUAUGCCGCGGUGAAUACGUUCUCGAGCUUUGUACUCACUGUUACACAAUGAGCUUGGCAGUUUGUCAAGUCUAGGAAGUUAAAAUCUUCCCCUCC